UGGGGGAUGGUGUAAUCGGUAACACUCCUGACUCUGGAUCAGGCUAUAGAGGUUCGAGUCCUCUUCCCCCAGCCA
rnacentral:tRNA from 1 species